rnacentral:lncRNA from 12 species
GACCUUGGCACACACCAAACUUAACAGGAAACUGCAGCUCAAAGGCCCAUGAUUAGGUUAAAUGGCCAAGAUGCUAAAAGCUUCCUAUCGUCCAGAAAUCGAGUGCCUCUGUCUGCUGAUUCUGACCAUGCUGGCUGUAAGUCAUAUUCUGAAAAGCUUUUGAUAAGUGUCUUAAGUGUAGGGAGACAUCUCAUGUGUCUUGCUAAGAACGGGCACAUUUUCAUAUCGAAAAGGUACUGCUGCUCCUUCUAUAAGUGUCUUUCUUCCUUCAGGGGUAUUUUCAAGGCAAGGCUGAGAGUUUUAAACCAAACUGUAAUUUUAAGUUUCAAAUGUUAGUCCUCAGUUUGGGGAGGAAGAAUGUUUAGAGAACAAGUCAGAAUAUCAAUAUUUCAAAGUGUGCCCCCUAGAAAGAUACCUAAGUUUAGGAAAGAAGUUCUUGAAACAGAGUUCGUUUCCCAGUUAUAAAAAAAAAAAAAAAAAAAAAAAAGGCACAACGUGGAAGAGGAUAAAGUGGUAUUAGUCUACUGACCACCAGAUUUCCCUCCACCCAUCUCUGGUCUGACCUUGCCCACUGUGGUCUGCCCUUCUCUCUCAUCAAGGCCAGAAGGAGGGUUCCUCCAGCAACAGAAAAUCCUCUUCCACCCACCGGUUGAUGCUUAAAAUUCUACUAUUAGGACUUAAUCCCUUUAGUUUCAGCUUUGAUCCCAGUUAAAAUGCAAAUACCUCUGGGUGGGGUGACACUUUUAAACUGUUAUCAGCCCUUCCCAGUCCACUGAGAAGGAAGGAGCCAGGCAAAUUUCAGUAGGGUUGUGAGGAGAGGUCUGGAGGCCAGAGAACUCUGGAGGAAAUGAAGUGUGAGCACAGAAGGAGGGCUCCCAGGGGCAGAAAACAAGCCGCCUCUCCCAGCUGCCGAAUCAGGACAGGAUCUGAAAACAGGACAGCAUGGAUUUAUGGAGAAAUCCCUCCACCAAAGGAUCUGAGAAAAGCAUUUGCUGAACAAUGGGACAAGCUACCGUUCUACUAAAAGAUCAUUUAAAUGUUGGGGCCCAUUCUAUGAUAAAACGUAAUGGCUAAUCCUCAGGGUUCAGCCUUUCUGUUCUAACUUUAACUAAGAGAAGAAGUUUAGCCUUGUUAAAGCUAUUAUCUGUUCCUAAACUGCAUAGUAUAUAAAAUGUAAAUGUGAUCACACCACUCUUAAAUUAUUAUAACAAUACGCCAUUCUGUUUUCUUCCCCUUGACAUUUACAAAAUUCAUUUGGAAGAGUGGGAUCUACCUCACAGAGAUUAGUGAUAAAUCAUGUAUUUUUAAUGAAUAUCAAUAGGAGAAACCCCAUGAC